rnacentral:rRNA from 1 species
GACGAACGCUGGCGGCGUGCCUAAUACAUGCAAGUAGAACGCUGAGGGAGGAGCUUGCUCUUCUGGAUGAGCUGCGAACGGGUGAGUAACGCGUAGGUAACCUGCCUGGUAGCGGGGGAUAACUAUUGGAAACGAUAGCUAAUACCGCAUAACAGUAGAUGUUGCAUGACAUUUACUUAAAAGGUGCAAUUGCAUCACUACCAGAUGGACCUGCGUUGUAUUAGCUAGUUGGUGGGGUAACGGCUCACCGAGGCGACGAUACAUAGCCGACCUGAGAGGGUGAUCGGCCACACUGGGACUGAGACACGGCCCAGACUCCUACGGGAGGCAGCAGUAGGGAAUCUUCGGCAAUGGACGGAAGUCUGACCGAGCAACGCCGCGUGAGUGAAGAAGGUUUUCGGAUCGUAAAGCUCUGUUGUAAGAGAAGAACGAGUGUGAGAGUGGAAAGUUCACACUGUGACGGUAUCUUACCAGAAAGGGACGGCUAACUACGUG